CCUUCUACCCACAGGAUCCUGCUGCUGCAGACAGAAGUGGAAAAGGCCCAGUGGCGUUUGGACCAGAUGACCCACAGCCUCUUGGCCCAGAGCCCAGCCCGGGGACACCCCAAUACACUCCAGGUCCCGGAGGUACCAGUGCCCCUCAGGAAACAGCUAGAAGCACAAGAAUCACAUCCCAGGCUUCAUGAGGAGAUGGCUGAGUACUGGAGGACACGCUGGCACCAGGUGGCAGUUGCCCUGAAAUUUAAAGAGGAGGAAUUGCAGAGACUCCAGAGGCAGAGUGGGACCUGGCCUCCCCAGCCUCAGCUUGUGGAUCCAGAGCUGGGUACUGAGCCGUACUGGACCAGUGGGCCCCCUCCUGGGAUCGCUGGACUUGGAGCAGAAGAAUUCCUCCAGGACUGCACUGGACACACAAAACUUGGGAACUGUCAACUGCCCUGUUAUUCACCUCGUGAAAAAAGCUGGAUUUAAAUGAGAGCGAAUGGAGCUGACAAUUCCCAGAAACUCGAAUUGAGAUGGUGAGAUUUUAGUUCAGCCCAGGGCGGUCUCAUGAGUGGGUGGUAAAGUUGAGCUUUGAGGUGGUCUUCAGAAGGAGAGGAAUACCCUCCGCGGGCAGAGCUUCCCGGGUUCCGGGCCCUUUGGGACGUCAACACAGGUCCAGCUGCCCUUAGGCUCCUCCGCACACCCUGGUUCCAAUAAUAAAUCCCUUUCCUCUCUGCCGCCAUUGGCCUGACUGGCUUCGGUUACUUCGCACAAAGAAACCUUGACAAGCAAACGUCCCAGGUGCUGCUCCAAAGGAGACCCCUGUCCUCCUAGAAGCCCCUCCCUGAGGCCGGGUAUACACUCGCCGCCCGCAACCCUCACCCUAGCUCCAGCUUCUGCUCCUUUUCCUGCCCACCCCGCCCAGUGAGGAGAUCGGCACCCCUUGUAUGUGUCUGUGUCUGCCGGGGUUCGUGCCUCACUGUCUCCAAGCCCGGCUUCUAUCCCUAGUCCCUUCCUGUUCCCGCAACUGCUGCUUGCUUCUUUCUCCCCUUCCCUCCAGCGGUGGUUCCAAACCUUCUCUUCCAUAAGACCCUCGAUUCCGUUUCCCAGGGACCCAGGGGUACCCCCUCGCUGCAGUGGGUUUCCCUCCUCGCAGCGCGGGCAGUCGAAGGUCAUUCCCGGUCACCCUGCCCGCUCGCUCCCAUUGGCUCUGGGGAGGGCACGUGACUCAAUCCUGGCCAAUGGCGUGGUGGGGCCUGUGGCUUGUAGCCGAGCAAGCUUUUCUUUCUGUCUUUUUUUCUUUUUUUUUUUUUUUUUUUUGAGACGGAGUCUCGCUCUGUCGCCCAGGCUGGAGUGCAGUGGCCGGAUCUCAGCUCACUGCAAGCUCCGCCUCCCGGGUUUACGCCAUUCUCCUGCCUCAGCCUCCCGAGUAGCUGGGACUAUAGGCGCCCGCCACCUCUCCCGGCUAGUUUUUUGUAUUUUUUAGUAGAGACGGGUUUUCACCGUUUUAGCCAGGGUGGUCUCGAUCUGCUGACCUCGUGAUCCGCCCGUCUCGGCCUCCCAAAGUGCUGGGAUUACAGGCUUGAGCCACCGCCCCCGGCCCAGGCAAGCUUUUCUAGGAGCUUCUGGAGGCUGUCCGGGGAUCCUCGGCUGAGCGCAGCGUAGCAUAGCAGAGAUCCUGGGGACAACCAAGGUUGUCCCCAAGAGGGAGAGGCACCUCUCCUCUUGGAGGGAGGCAGAGGGAGACAACCUCUGCCUCCCUCGCCCCUUCCCCUCCCUGAAGGGGAGGACUUGGGGGAGAGGUUAAAGGCACCCGCUUUGGAGUCCCGCCCCAGCCUUGCCAUUCACUAGAUAUAUGACUUCCAGCACAUUUCUAUUCCUCAAUUUCUUCAUCUGAAAAAUGAACAAAACAACUAGCUUGGCAGAGCGCAGUGACUCACGCCUGUAAUCCCAGAAUUUUGGGAAGCCGGAACGAGAGGAUCGAUUGAGCCCGGGAGUUUGAGACCAGCCUGGGCAACAUAGUGAGACCUCGUCUCUAUAAUUUUAUAACAAAUAAUUAAAAAAAAAAAAAAACAAAAAAACCUGCCUUAUGGAGCUGUGGGUAGAGUAUGAAAUGAGAUAACUUGUAUACAGGGCUUAGCACUUGUGUUCAGGGCACAGGCUCUGGGCCCUGCAGCCACUGAACUACAGCCCCAGCUCCUCCGCUCCCUAGCUGUGGGACCUCACCACACCAGGUUCAAUUGGUAGCUUCACAGCCAACCUACUAUGCAGUCAUCAGUGCUGUGUGAACCUUCCUGCCCAUCUCUUGGGGCACAAAAGUAGGAGUAAAAUUACAGGGUUCUAGGGCCAAGUGCAUGAUCAGCUUUACUAGGUAAUGCCAAAGUGGUUUCCAAAUUGGUUAGCCCAAGAGUGUGAGAGGUCCUGCUGCUGCUCAUCCUUGCCAGGACCUGGUACGGUAUGACUUUUGUGUCUAUCCAGUAGUGUGAGGUGGUUUCUUGCCCAUUUCCCUGAUCACGAAUGAGGUCAAGCCAUUUGUAUUUUCUUAGACAAAACAUCUAUUUGUGACUCUACCCCCUCUCCCUAACUCUUACUUUUUGCUUUUGUCUUAAGAAUAAGCAUUAAAAAGAAAUCAUUGUGGGCUGGGUGCACACCAGCAUGCCUGGCUAAUUUUUAUUUUUAUUUUUUUAUUAUUUUUUUGAGACGGAGUCUCGCUUUGUCGCCCAGGCUGGAGUGCAGUGGCACCAUCUUGGCUCACUGCAAGCUCCGCCUCCCGGGUUCAUGCCAUUCUCCUGCCUCAGCCUCCGAGUAGCUGGGACUGCAGGUGCCCGCCACCACGCCCGGCUAAUUUUUUGUAUUUUUAGUAGAGACGGGGUUUCACCGUGUU
rnacentral:lncRNA from 1 species